CCCCUCCCGGCCCGCCUCCGCGGCGCGGGGAGAGGGGCAGGACCUCUUUGCCUACGAGGGCGGCACUCGCGGCAGUAGUUUGGGGAAGAGGUGAAGAAGCAAUUCUUUCCACGUCACUCCCACUACAGUCAGCCGUUGCCAUACCUGUUCUGGAGGACUUGAAAGAGAUUAAGUUUACUACUUCUGCCAUGGUGUAGGACAAUCAGAAGAAGAAAAAAAAAACUUGCUGGAAUUCACGGUCUGCCUAGAAGAAAAAUGGCUUUUUUCUUACAUAAGAGAGGAGCUGAAGAAACACAAG
rnacentral:lncRNA from 1 species